rnacentral:misc_RNA from 1 species
GAAAUGCGAUAAGUAGUGUGAAUUGCAGAAUUCAGUGAAUCAUCGAAUCUUUGAACGCACAUUGCGCCCUUUGGUAUUCCUUAGGGCAUGCCUGUUCGAGCGUCAUCUAAACCUUCAAGCCCUGCUUGGUGUUGGGUGCCUGUCCCGCCUCCGCGCGCGGACUCACCUCAAAUCCAUUGGCGGCCCCCGCGUCGGCCACGAGCGCAGCAGAAACGCGAACUCGUGAGCCCGUCCGGGCGGCUCCCAGAAGCUACACCCACCCAGUUUGACCUCGGAUCAGGUAAGGAUACCCGCUGAACUUAAGC